CAUGUCCUUUUGCAAAUUAAUAGAAGGUCUGACCUGCCCAGUGAUUUAUUUAACGGCCGCGGUAUACUGACCGUGCAAAGGUAGCAUAAUCAUUAGUCUUUUAAAAGAGGGCUGGAAUGAAAGGUUUGACGAAGUAUUAACUGUCUCAUUUUAUUUGAAUUUAAAAUUUAACUUUUGAGUCAAAAGGCUUAAAUUUAAUUGGAAGACGAGAAGACCCUAUAGAGCUUUAUAAUAACAAUUUAAAAUUUUAUAUAUAAUUUUAUUUUAAAAACCUUAUUAUUUUGUUGGGGUGACAAAAAAAUAAAAUUAACUUUUUUAAUUAUUUAACAUUAAUAUAUGAUUAUUAGGUCCAUUCAUAUUGAUUAUUAGAUUAAGUUACCUUAGGGAUAACAGCGUAAUCCUCCUCCAGAGUUCAUAUUUACAGGUAGGGCUUGCGACCUCGAUGUUGGAUUAAGAUAAUAAUUAGGUGCAGCCACUUAAUUUAUAGGUCUGUUCGACCU
rnacentral:rRNA from 1 species